rnacentral:rRNA from 1 species
AGCAGUGGGGAAUAUUGGACAAUGGGCGAAAGCCUGAUCCAGCCAUGCCGCGUGUGUGAAGAAGGUCUUCGGAUUGUAAAGCACUUUAAGUUGGGAGGAAGGGCAGUUACCUAAUACGUGAUUGUUUUGACGUUACCGACAGAAUAAGCACCGGCUAACUCUGUGCCAGCAGCCGCGGUAAUACAGAGGGUGCAAGCGUUAAUCGGAAUUACUGGGCGUAAAGCGCGCGUAGGUGGUUUGUUAAGUUGGAUGUGAAAUCCCCGGGCUCAACCUGGGAACUGCAUUCAAAACUGACUGACUAGAGUAUGGUAGAGGGUGGUGGAAUUUCCUGUGUAGCGGUGAAAUGCGUAGAUAUGGGAAGGAACACCAGUGGCGAAGGCGACCACCUGGACUAAUACUGACACUGAGG